rnacentral:misc_RNA from 1 species
ACCCGAUCUACUCUAGAUAGAGUGAGGUAUUGGCUUUAGGGCGCGUCCAAGCGGUCUUUAGCCCGAAUGCAUUAAGGCUGAUGAGUUCCCAAUGGAGGAGACCUCAAUGUGUGCUAGCGGACAGAUGUUUCGACGUCACAUUGAGGCGUUCCAAUGCAAGCUCUAUAAACGGCCUUUUUGAUGAUGACAUCAUAUCAUCAUCUCUCCAUCAA